CGUCCUCUAUCUGAGGACUAUAUAUUAAAUGGAUUUUUGGAACAGGGAGAUGGAAUAGGAGCUUGCUCCAUCCACUCCACGCAUCAACCUGGUAUUGCAGUACCUCCAGGAACGGUGC
rnacentral:snRNA from 1 species